rnacentral:rRNA from 1 species
CUCCAGACUCCUACGGGAGGCAGCAGUGAGGAAUAUUGGUCAAUGGGCGCAAGCCUGAACCAGCCAAGUCGCGUGAGGGAUGACGGUCCUAUGGAUUGUAAACCUCUUUUGUCGGGGAGCAAGGCCCGCCACGUGUGGCGGGAAGGAGAGUACCCGAAGAAAAAGCAUCGGCUAACUCCGUGCCAGCAGCCGCGGGAAUACGGAGGAUGCGAGCGUUAUCCGGAUUUAUUGGGUUUAAAGGGAGCGUAGGGGGAUUGUUAAGUCAGUUGUGAAAGUUUGCGGCUCAACCGUAAAAUUGCAGUUGAAACUGGCAGUCUUGAGUACAGUAGAGGUGGGCGGAAUUCGUGGUGUAGCGGUGAAAUGCUUAGAUAUCACGAAGAACUCCGAUUGCGAAGGCAGCUCACUGGACUGCAACUGACACUGAUGCUCGAAAGUGUGGGUAUCAAACAGGAUUAGAUACCCUUGUAA